rnacentral:piRNA from 1 species
UGCCUCUGGUCUCCCCUGGUCCCCAAGU